CGGGUGUAUGUGAGGGACAUCUAAACAUAAGGUCAUGCUGCCAGAAUGAGAGAGACCGAAGUUAACUACUGACAUGGGUCUUGGAAUUGCACCAACAUGAAUGGUAAAAGCAGCAGAACGAUGUCAAUGCGAUUGAUAGCGAUAAACAGGAGCAACAUCUAUCUCUGUUGAUUGGACCUAAAUAUCUACACUGAUUGCAGAGCUACUUUCCACUGGCCGCCUUGUUGAUGCACAAUGAUCCGCUACAGCAAAUUACAGAAGCAAGUUCUGGCAUUGUAUCGAGAGUUCAUGCGCGCUGGAAGGGACAAACCUGGAUUCAUUCCUCGGAUUCGAGAUGAAUUCCGAGAGAAUGCUCGUAUUAAGAAGACCGACGUCAUGCACAUAGAAUACUUAUAUCGGCGCGGACAACGACAGCUCGAACAGCUCAAAGAUGUGAACACCAAACAGCUGGGGUCUUUCUCCGGGAGCAAAGAAAACAGAUGAUGCCAAGUAAAGGCCAAGUGCUGAUAUCUGUCAUGUAUUAUCGAUAAUAGGAUUCAGUUCAUGUAAUAGUUUUCCAGGCCUCAUGGAUCUCCUCUGGACAUCAUUGUGUAAGGUCAUAUAUAUUGUCAGAAGGCUGUCGAAGCCUGUUGUUUGAGCAGAUGGCUCAAAGAUCAGAACCUGUUGCGGCACAAGGUUCAAUACCUGGAUGAACACUGUUGUGAAGGACACUGUCUACAUUACUGAUUGUGUAAUGUAUUUAAAAAUAAAUAAUAAAACAAACACUGCUUUUCUACACCAUUGAUAAUUUGGGCCUACUGGUUGUAACACAGUCUAUGGUUGUAACAGUCACAAAUCUGGUUAAUAUUUUAUGACCAAAAGAUCACAUCCACUUGACACAAAACAAAUAUUGUAAAACAAUAUAAUGUACAUAGAGGUAAGUACCUAUGAAUACAUAUAUAUAGCUAUUGCACAUCCUUGAGUUGAAUUAUGUAAGGUUCAAAUUUGACAUAACUACCAGGGGGGGAAGUUGAGCAAGCAUGGUGAAUGCGCUGCAGCCGGCAGGGGGCAGUAGUUCUGUAAGACGGAGAAAAAUAACCCAAACAGGAAAUAAACAGAACGGUAGACAUUCUCUGACUACCUUGCUAGCUGAGACGGUGGGCGAGGCUGGUACAUUUGUGAUUAAAUAUAGACUAGAAGAAAGCAGUUAGCAGGAUAUUUAGUGCACAAAGAUUAUACCAUGGCAGCUCCAGGAAAUGCUGCGGGCGAGAUGACCAAUGCCCAGCUAAUUCAACAAUUGGCAUUGCUGAACUGGCUGAAGUCUGAUACUACUCAGAGUAAAGACAUACUGACUGCCAUCACCCAACUGCAAGUAGGACGGGAGAUUUUCAACAGAUUGACUGGACAGGGGAAAGUAGAGGCUUACAAGAAAGAGUGCAUUCUGCAGAUUGCUGACUAUGUCCAGAAGAAUCCAAGCGCCUCCCAGAGGCAGCUGAACACUGAGGUGGAGAAGCAGGUCCUGCUGUUUGCUGCCCGAGUGCAGGCCCUGGACUCUGGGUCCCUCCUCUAAGAUCCUCUCUCUCUCUCUCUCUCUCUCUCAAUUCAAUUCAAUUCAAUUCAAUUCAAUUCAGUGAGCUUUAUUGGCAUGACUGUGCAUUGUACAAUAUUGGCAAAGCAUUAACAUCUCUCUCUCUACCUCUACUGUCUCUCUAGCUCUCUCUCUUUCUAUCUACCUCUACUCUCUCUCUCUACUCUCUCUCUCUCUCUUUCUCUUUCUAUCUACCUCUACUCUCUCUCUAGCUCUCUCUACCUCUUCUCUCUCUCUCUCUCCCCCUCUCUUGCCUUACUGGAGGACAGCAACACAAGGAUUUGUCUUUCUCACUUUUUUAACAUUUCAUAAUUUAUAUUGUUUUCGUACCAUUUUAAUGAGAUCUGAUUUAUGGUGUAAUUUUGCAUCUUGUUUUUAUCUUUUUGUAAUAUAGUUAUUGAUUUGAAACUAUGAUACUGGUGUUUUCUUUCAAGCCCGUAUUAGAUAUCAAAUAUGUAAACAAAAACAACAACAAUAAUAAUAUUGUAAAUAAAUAACACUGUUAUACUUCA